rnacentral:tRNA from 1 species
GUCGAACCCGCAAUCUUUUGAUUAGAAGUCAAACGCGUU